rnacentral:sRNA from 1 species
UAGACUUAUACGGUACGCCACAUUAUA